rnacentral:lncRNA from 1 species
UUUGUAUGAAUUGAUCAAUUUCAUGUUUGUGCCUCCUCCUUUUCUUUUCUGGGUUUGAGGGAUGUUUUUUGUUGCAAGGUGAGAUUUCUUUUUCUAUCUUUUGCAAAGUUCAUCUUUAAUAAUCAAUCAUGUCACCAGUUAAUUCUCCUUUGCUCUUGUGAGUUCAUUUUUAAUCAUCAAUCAUGUCACAAGUUGAUUCUCUUUUUCUCUUGUUCUACCGCACCAGUCAAUGGGUAUCUUUGUAGCUCUCUGUGUGGAUAGUUGGUUGGAAAAAAUUGCAGCAAUUACUUAUUGGCUUGAUGUCUAUCUUGCUCGCAAGAUGAGGUUAGGAUCUAAUUUUGAUGUUGGAUGGUUUGUGCUUGUUGAUUUUUUGAUGUUGGAGUUUCUUUUGAAAAUCAAUGGGCAUGGUGUUCUUCUUUCUCUGAUAUUGUUCUUCUCUGUGAAUAGUUAUUCUCUCUGUUCU